rnacentral:rRNA from 1 species
AUGACGACGCGUAUCGCGCCCGGCGUGGGCGCGAACCUCCUCGGGCAGCACUCGGCGGAGCGCAACCAGGACGCCACCACCUACGUCGGCAACCUCGACCCGCAGGUUUCUGAGGAAUUACUGUGGGAGUUGUUUGUCCAAGCAGGCCCUGUUGUUAAUGUCUAUGUCCCGAAAGACAGAGUUACAAAUCUACACCAGGGCUAUGGGUUUGUAGAAUUUAGGAGUGAGGAAGAUGCAGAUUAUGCUAUUAAGAUUUUGAACAUGCUCAAAUUGUACGGAAAGCCAAUAAGAGUAAACAAGGCUUCCCAAGACAAGAAGAGCUUGGAUGUGGGUGCGAAUCUUUUUAUUGGCAAUCUUGAUCCGGAAGUCGAUGAGAAGCUUCUCUAUGAUACCUUCAGUGCAUUUGGUGUGAUUGUGACCAACCCUAAGAUAAUGCGGGACCCUGAAACUGGAAAUUCUCGAGGUUUUGGCUUUGUGAGCUAUGAUUCCUUUGAAUCAUCUGAUCAAGCUAUAGAGGCCAUGAACAACCAGCAUUUAUGUAAUCGGCCAAUCACUGUCUCAUAUGCUUACAAGAAAGACACGAAAGGAGAGCGCCAUGGCACACCAGCAGAGAGGUUGCUUGCAGCGAACAACCCAGGAUCUCAGAAGCAUAGGCCACACACAAUGUUUGCAACUGCUCCGCCAACCCAAGGGCUUCAAAACGGUGGUGUUGGUGCACCUGUGCCACGGCCUUUUGCCAAUGGGAAUGUCCCAGGACAGAUGCAACAUGUCAGACCGCCGCCGCCACCUGUUGGUCAAUACCCUCCCAUGCAGAUGCAUGGACAGCCUGCCUGGCCUGGUCCUCCACAGAAUAUGCAACAAGUACCACCUCCGAUGCAACAGCAGCUUCAAUACAGGCUUCCAGGGAUGCCCCCGCCGCCGCAAAACAUGAUGCCCCCACCGCAAAACAUGAUGCCGCCACCUCAUCACAUGGCCAGGCUGCCGCCGCCACCUCCCAAUAUGCAAGCUCCACCUAUGUGGAGGCCACCCCCAUCCCCACAACAAGGUGGUGGAAUGCCGCCACCUCCAAUGUCCAUGCCACCUCCUCCACCGCCACCUUCUGGUUAA